rfam:Oryza nivara chromosome 4, whole genome shotgun sequence.
AAAAAUUGUAAUUUUAUACCGUCCAAUCUAACAUUUGACCAUUUUAUCUUAUUUAAAUUAUUUUAUGAUUAUUAUUUUUUUAUUAUUAAAUGAUAAAAUAUGAACCGUACUUUAUGUGUGACUAAUUUUUAAUUUUUUAUAUCUUUUUAAAUAAGACGAACCGUCAAACGUUGUGCACAGAUAGUUACGGCUGUAUUUAUU